GUCUAUCUGUGUGAGUGAGUGAUAUCCCAUAAUGCACUUCUCAUGAUUGCGUAGCCUCUGACACUAGCAAUCUUCUUGCAUUCUGGUAAGACUAUAGUGCAGGGCUAGGCAACCUUCGGAACUCUAAGUGUUUUGGACUACAUCUCCCAUAAUGCUGGAGAAGCAUCUGUGGGGAUGUAGUAGUUGCUAGCACCAUGUGAAGGUUUUCUACUGCCUAACAAGUCUAAUAAAUGCUGUGCAUUCCUAACAAACUCAUCUGUCUUUCGGAACACAUGCCCCUUAGUACAUGUACCAUCCUGUGCCUUAUAGCAUUUUUAUUUUUCAGAUUCGGAAUGUCCUGUUUAUUCCAGCUAAAUUUCCUGCUGGUAUGUCCUUCUGUAGGUUGUUUUUAUAAUCCCAUUAUUAUUGUGUACAUUUUCUCUGUCAUCUGUAGAUUUCUCUACAUAAAUUGGCUUAAUAAUAAUUGUAGCAUAGUCCAUAUUUAAAGGACAACCGUAAUCAAAAACUCCACAAAAUUAAUUUACAGAGACAUUCUAACUUGCUUGUUUCUGCAGUUUCACAUAGAGCAGUUGUAACCGCAGACACAUUAGGUUGAGUAGCAGUUGGUGAGAUAACAAUAGUUUGAUCAAACCAGAUAGAAAAUGUGGUGUUUUUUUUAUUUUAUUUUUUUAUCUGCCAUAUUAGGUCAGACUCUACUGUUACCUGACCCACUGCUGCCCAACCUAAUAACCUAAGUUGGUCAGCUAACAAUCGAAUCUUUGAAUCUGACCCAACAUGGCUGCUCAGCC